UAUUGAUGAUGGUUGGGGAUAUGUACAACUAUUGUUAAUCAAAUUACUUGAUUUUAUGGUUAAUUGCUUUUCAAUGGUUAAUUUGCAUGGCUUAAUUUGCUUACCUUAUUGAAAUAGUGUUGAAUGUGAAACAUGAGAAUGGAAUUUCAUUUAUAGAUCCAGUACCAGAAUUACCAAAACAAGAGUAGGUGAGGACAAAUUGAUGAUAUGAAUAUUUUAGAAGUUUUAGAAAGGUAAUCUUGAACUCGAAAGACCCAUUUCUUGAUGCUAAAGACUGCUUCAGCAGCACAGUUUUAUGGCAAAUUAAUACAAAGAAUUGAUUUGAUUGACUUGCUUUUUAAUAUAUCCUACUGACUUAACUUUUCUGGCCACAUAUAUUAACAUUAUAUUCUAGAUUGAUUAACCAGUAACAUAUAAUACUGCAAUGUGGUGUAGACCACAAGGCAUUUUAGGUAGUGACUUAGUGCGGCUUUUGAA
rnacentral:misc_RNA from 1 species